rnacentral:misc_RNA from 1 species
GAUGAAGAACGUAGCGAAAUGCGAUAAGUAAUGUGAAUUGCAGAAUUCAGUGAAUCAUCGAAUCUUUGAACGCACAUUGCGCCCGCCAGUAUUCUGGCGGGCAUGCCUGUUCGAGCGUCAUUACAACCCUCAGGCCCCCGGGCCUGGCGUUGGGGAUCGGCGGAGCCCCCCGUGGGCACACGCCGUCCCCCAAAUACAGUGGCGGUCCCGCCGCAGCUUCCAUCGCGUAGUAGCUAACACCUCGCGACUGGAGAGCGGCGCGGCCACGCCGUAAAACACCCAACUCUUCUGAAGUUGACCUCGAAUCAGGUAGGACUACCCGCUGAACUUAAGCAUAUCAAUAAGCGGAGGA